rnacentral:tRNA from 1 species
GCUCUUAUAGCUUAAUGGAUAGAGCAUCGGCCUCCGGAGCCGAAGAUGCCAGUUCGAUUCUGGCUAAGAGCGCCA